rnacentral:rRNA from 1 species
AAGCUCGUAGUUGAACCUUGGGCCUGGCUGGCCGGUCCGCCUCACCGCGUGCACUGGUCCGGCCGGGCCUUUCCCUCUGUGGAACCCCAUACCCUUCACUGGGCGUGGCGGGGAAACAGGACAUUUACUUUGAAAAAAUUAGAGUGCUCCAGGCAGGCCUAUGCUCGAAUACAUUAUCAUGGAAUAAUAAAAUAGGACGCGCGGUUCUAUUUUGUUGGUUUAUAGGACCGCCGUAAUGAUUAAUAGGGACGGUCGGGGGCAUCAGUAUUCAACUGUCAGAGGUGAAAUUCUUGGAUCAGUUGAAGACUAACUACUGCAAAAGCAUUUGCCAAGGAUGUUUUCAUUAAUCAGGAACGAAAGUUAGGGGAUCGAAGACGAUCAGAUACCGUCGUAGUCUUAACCAUAAACUAUGCCGACUAGGGAUCGGACGGUGUUAUUCAUGACCCGUUCGGCACCUUACGAGAAAUCAAAGUGCUUGGGCUCCAGGGGGAGUAUGGUCGCAAGGCUGAAACUUAAAGAAAUUGACGGAAGGGCACCACCAGGGGUGGAGCCUGCGGCUUAAUUUGACUCAACACGGGGAAACUCACCAGGUCCAGACACAAUAAGGAUUGACAGAUUGAGAGCUCUUUCUUGAUUUUGUGGGUGGUGGUGCAUGGCCGUUCUUAGUUGGUGGGGUGACUUGUCUGCUUAAUUGCGAUAAC